rnacentral:rRNA from 1 species
UACCAGCUCUCCGAGUGGUGUGGAUGUUUAUUGGGCCUAAAGCAUCCGUAGCUGGCCAAGCCAGUCCCCUGUUAAACCCAACGAAUUAAUCGUUGGAUUGCGGGGGAUACUGCUCGGCUAGGGGACGAGAGAGGCCGACGGUAUUCUCGGGGUAGGGGUGAAAUCCUAUAAUCCCGGGAAGACCACCAGUGGCGAAGGCUGUCGGCUAGAACGAGCCCGACGGUGAGGGAUGAAAGCUGGGGGAGCGAACCGGAUUAGAUACCCGGGUAGUCCCAGCUGUAAACGAUGCAGGCUAGGUGUUUGGACGGCCACGCGCCGUUCUAGUGCCGCAGGGAAGCUGUUAAGCCUGCCGCCUGGGGAGUACGAUCGCAAGAUUGAAACUCAAAUGAAUUGACGG